CGCUGGCCAGCACUGCAGCGCCCCCAUAGACCAUACUGGGUAGUGCAGGAAACACCUGGCAAUGUGAAGAACAGCUCUGUGGGUCGGUUGCUACGGUGAUGAUGUGAUACUUGGGGCUCACCUCGUCCAGGAUCAGAACUGCAGGCGCUGCCAUGCUGCCAAUCCUCGCCAUCGUGGAGACGAAGCCCAUUCCUGUCUGCCUGGAAGGACAUCACAACAUGUUCUGGUAACCCGGUCAGAAGUUCUGAUGAGGAUGGAACCGGGCCUGUUGGACCCACCUGAUGACAGUGGGGUAGAGCUCUCCGGUGUACAGGUAGACGGUGGUGAAGGAGGCCGAUGUGAAGGCUUUACCCAGACAGGCUAGGGUGGUUCUGAGGCUCUGCAUGUCUGCAGGAUAGAGACCAGAACCAGAACCAGAUCAAGACAACAGACCGGGUUAAAACCAGAACCACACAUCACAAAAUGAUCAGGGUUAGAAUCACAGAUUAGAGAUUAGAUCCGGAUCAGAACCAGUGAUUUGGCCUGAGUCAGAAUCAGAACCACACUGUGAGUCGAGUCAGAAUUUAACACAUAAUCUGAACAAAGAUUAGAGACGGAGUCAGGAUCAGAACCAGAACGGGAGAUAGUUCUGGAAACCCAAUAAAGACGGGGUAGAGAUCAGAUCUGGAAUCAGGGUGAGUCAGGACUGGAUUUAGGGUCAUAUCAGAACCAGAACCUCUGUACCUGUGGGGACAAAGAUGUUGGCAAAGAUGAUGACAGCCGACAGGAACAGGCACGACACCUGGGAGACCCGCCUGCCCAGGUAACUGAGCAUACCCAGAGCCAAGAACUUUGCAGGAAUAUCUACAGCUCCAAAGAUGAUCUGCAUCAGGUAAAUACUUACCUGGAACGACCCACAGCCAAUCAGAACGCAGUUCACUCCAGAAACAAGGAAGACAGGUGAGCAGAAAUCAGAGAACUCACCCCGAACUUCUGCAGGUCCAUCGCCAAACCAUAGUAAGCAAAACUGGUGGAGAACCUGCAGACAGGUACACAGGUAAACACCUGCACAGGUAGAGAUUGUAAUAGAAAAUUUUGUUUUUAGCCUUAUUUAUUUUUGAUGGAACUGAUUAUACUUUUUUAACAUUUAUUUACUGAUUAUAGCUGCUGUGUUUUUGUAUUUCUGCAAGAUGUGUUUUUCCAUUAGAGAAGUUUCCAGAUAAUGUUUAGCUGUUUCCGCAGCCGUGAUAGUAUAAGAGACCUGAAGACAUCUUGGGUAAAAUGCUUAAGCUGGCAGUUGUCUUAAAGGACUGACGUGUGGAAUGUAGUUUGUACCCUUGUUCGACCCAGCACCCAUGAGAAACUGACAAAGAAAAAUUAGAAGUUUCUCCUGAAACCCUUAUCGGUUCUCUUUCCUGCCAUAAAAUCGUCCCCUCCAAGAGGUGAGGGAUAGUUCAUGAGGUGGGGGUAAGCACUGUGGUCCAUCUGGCAAUAGACCAGACUUUGGGUGGGUCUUUUCCUUGCUGUGACUUUACAACAAUGUGAUGUGACUGUGUUCAGGGCUCUUCUCCUGACUGCAUUCAGUGAGACGGGACUUCGAACGCUUUUUGCCUUCGAAUAAAUAAACUUAAAGACAAAGA